rnacentral:rRNA from 1 species
CUGGUGUUCCGGUUGUCACGCCAGUGGCACUGCCGGGUAGCUAUAUACGGACGGGAUAACCGCUGAAAGCAUCUAAGCGGGAAGCCCCCCCCAAGAUUAGGUUUCCCUGGGAACUUGAUUCCCCUAAAGGGCCGUCGAAGACUACGACGUUGAUAGGCUGGGUGUGUAAGUGCAGUAAUGCUCUAAGCUAACCAGUACUAAUUGCCCGUGAGGCUUGACCAUAUAACACCCAAUGA